CUUGUUAUUUUUUAAUUGAUU
rnacentral:miRNA from 1 species